CAGUCGCCGCGGUAAUACGAAGGGUGCAAGCGUUAAUCGGAAUUACUGGGCGUAAAGCGUGCGUAGGCGGUGAGUUAAGUCUGCUGUGAAAUCCCCGGGCCCAACCUGGGAAUGGCAGUGGAUACUGGCUCGCUAGAGUGUGUCAGAGGAUGGUGGAAUUCCCGGUGUAGCGGUGAAAUGCGUAGAGAUCGGGAGGAACAUCAGUGGCGAAGGCGGCCAUCUGGGACAACACUGACGCUGAGGCACGAAAGCGUGGGGAGCAAACAGGAUUAGAUACCCCGGUAGUCCCUGUCUCUUAUAA
rnacentral:rRNA from 1 species